CGUGCCUAACACAUGCAAGUCGAACGGUAGCAGGUCUAGUUUACUAGAUGCUGACGAGUGGCGGACGGCUGAGUAACGCGUGGGAACGUGCCCUAAAGUGAGGGAUAACGCACCGAAAGGUGUGCUAAUACCGCAUAUGAUCUUCGGAUUAAAGAAUUUAUUCGCUUUAGGAGCGGCCCGCGUCGGAUUAGGUUGUUGGUGAGGUAAUGGCUCACCAAGCCGACGAUCCGUAGCUGGUCUGAGAGGAUGAUCAGCCACACUGAGACUGAGACACGGCCCAGACUCCUACGGGAGGCAGCAGUGGGGAAUCUUAGACAAUGGGGGAAACCCUGAUCUAGCCAUGCCGCGUGAUCGAUGAAGGCCUUAGGGUUGUAAAGAUCUUUCAGUGGGGAAGAUAAUGACUGUACCCACAGAAGAAGCCCCGGCUAACUCCGUGCCAGCCGCCGCCGUAAGAC
rnacentral:rRNA from 1 species